UACGGAGGGUGCGAGCGUUGUCCGGAAUCACUGGGCGUAAAGGGCGCGUAGGCGGCCUGAUAAGUAGGGGGUGAAAUCCUGCGGCUUAACCGCAGGGCUGCCUUCUAAACUGUCAGGCUGGAGCACAGUAGAGGCAGGUGGAAUUCCCGGUGUAGCGGUGGAAUGCGUAGAGAUCAGGAAGAACAUCAGUGGCGAAGGCGGCCUGCUGGGCUGUUGCUGACGCUGAGGCGCGACAGCGUGGGGAGCAAACAGG
rnacentral:rRNA from 1 species